AAUUACCCCGAUCAAAGAAUCCUCCCUUUAAUCCUCAGAGACUGAAGGAUCGUGCCGUUCUGCCCCAACACCUGAAGUAGCAGAAAAAGUGAGGAAACUCUAGCCAAGACAAACCUUCAAGGUCUCAGCCAGAGUAACAAGGAGUCUGCAGGCAAGCAGCUUGCAAAAGCAGUAGAUAGACCGAGUCAGUUACUGUCUUUGACGACUCACCAAGCCACUCGCUGUGACUAUGCCAGUGGACGGGGAUGUCCUUAGGACAUUGGAAACUGACCCCUGCAUUGGAAACUGACCCCCAAACUAGCUGAUUAGCGAUGGGAUCCAAUCUACACUAGGCCAGAUCCUGACUGUCAGCCAUGGAGAAGACGACUCUCUUGGAGACGGGUUAGAAUCCACAACCAUCCAAAAUGACCAUUCACACAUCCGGCAGGAUUUUGUCGAUUUUGUACAGGUGGAUCAAAGGGAAAGUUUACUUAGGGGAACUUGUCCCUGGAGGUCCUGCUCCGAAGUGGUUAGGAUACAAAGCACUGUGAUGGGACUACUUCUUUCUAGAUCCAGGGGCAGAAGUGACUCUAAUGGCAGAAAGAAUGUUUGACCAGAUUAACCAGCACUCCAAUCAGCAGAGAGAAUGCUCAUCCCACAACACAAUACAGCCAAAUUCACCACUUAUACCAAGAUAGGAUGAGUCCCUUAAGAGGCGAUGCAAAGCAGCUGCUCCCUGUGAAUCCACUGAGAAAUACUGGGUCACUGGUUGGUGGGGAAAGACUGUAUUCACACUCCCUGACCUGAAACCACUACAGGGAGCUCAGCUGCUGUGAUUUCCCAUUGUUCUGUCACCUGCUGUAUGGUAAGAGAGUCUGCCAUAGCAGCAUUUGAGACUGCGGGGCUGUACAAGGCAGAGAUUCAUCAUGUUUCUUUCCUCUUGAGAAGAGAUUGGCUCUGACGUCCUGGAAGUUUCUCAGAAGCCUCAAAGAGACGUUGAAUUAUCCAUAAGAGCAUUCUUUGAAGGAGGGGACGGGAUGCCUGCAAAGCGCUGGUGCUUUAGAGCUUCCCAGGAGAUUAUUUUACCUGUCAGUGCCAGUGCUGGGGAAUUUCAAAGCUGACAGAGCUCUAAGGUGCUGUGUCCGACAUGGCUAUGCCAUAGCUUGGGAGGAUCCAUCGAUCGUCUUGUGCUUUCACUGACCUCAGUCAGACACUCAGGGAGCUACUAACCUCUGUAUCUUCAUUCAUCCUGCUAAUAAGGAAGCUUUCAAAUGGAGUCAAGCAAAUGCAAAAAAAAAAAAUCUGCAAACAUUUGUGUGAAUAAAAACUCUGAGCUGAGACUCUGCAUUCAUUUGCCACUGCUAUUUGGAGCAGGGCUGGCUCUGGCUUUUUUUCCACCCUAGGCAAAAAAGCCACCCACCGCCGUCCCCCCCACCCCCACCCCACCAGCGCGGCAGGGGAGGGCGCCGAGCA